CUGCUGCCUCCCGUAGGAGUAUGGACCGUGUCUCAGCUCCAUUGUGGCCGAUCAGUCUCUCAACUCGGCUAUGCAUCAUCGCCUUGGUAAGCCGUUACCUUACCAACUAGCUAAUGCACCGCAGGUCCAUCCCAGAGUGAUAGCCAAAGCCAUCUUUCAAACAAAAGCCAUGUGGCUUUUGUUGUUAUGCGGUAUUAGCAUCUGUUUCCAAAUGUUAUCCCCCGCUCCAGGGCAGGUUA
rnacentral:rRNA from 1 species